GCUACAAUGGCGGUACAAGAGCAGCGAGCUCGCGAGGAGUAAGCAAACUCUCAAAAAGCCGUCCUCAGUUCGGAUUGGAGUCUGCAACUCGACUCCAUGAAGUUGGAAUCGCUAGUAAUCGCGGAUCAGCAUGCCGCGGUGAAUACGUUCCCGGGCCUU
rnacentral:rRNA from 1 species